CUCAAACUCCUCCUCUCUCCUGAAGGACCCUCAAGAAGUGUUUGUGUCACCCUUUGAAAGCAUCAACCCUAUUCUGAGCAUCCAUGAGCUGGAAGAGGAAUGGAGAAAGCACUCAGGGUUUUUCCCUUUAUGGAUGAUAUCCAAUUAAGGCUUCAAGUAAUCAGCACUGUCUACGAUAAUUUGGAGCACAUCCAUGACUGUAUGAGAGCUUCCUGCACAGAAAGGACAUAAGAGGGGAGAGCUGGGGAACAUUCUAGUGACAGAGGUGAUGCAAUCCAAGGGGAUGGGGAAGCUUUAAAGCCAUUUGGCAAAGAAAGUGUUUGCAGUUUCACCCAUAGCCCUGCAGCACCGCUCUUCAUUGGGAACCACCUGCAGAGCAGGAUGUGUUCCAUGCCUGCAGAGAAUCCCUGAAGUGGGGUGGGAUGUGACCUGGGCUGGCUGAGCCUCUCCUGGCAGGAGCAGCCGGGAAGGGGAGCACACAGGAGAAGGCAUGCAGCCCUUGCCUCAGCUCUCUCAUCUCAGUGAGUGUGUGCUCCUCCAAAUAAAUGUACUCACGAGCAUUUGUCAGUGAUUGCCAUGGAAGGAGGCAAAAAUCUAUAACCUGGGGUCAGGCCUUUCUUCCAGGCUCUCAUGUCAUGAGAUUCUCUCCACCUCCUCCCUCAAACUGCAGGGAGCAGCCCCUCUGCGCUGUGUCUCAUCUCGCUGACACGGCUUGGCUGUAGCCCGUGUCCAGGAGGUCGCUGGCAGACGUCGGCUGUCGCUGGAAAAUAGCUGGAGUGGCGUCCUGGGGAUGCCAGGGGUGCAGGCAGCUCGAAGUGACCCCGUCACUGCAGCUGCCCUGAUGGGAGUGACCUCCCAUGAUUUUCUGAGACCCAAAGGAGCUGAGGAGCUACAGGAGCAGUGUACAUUGGGGUGCCCAGCUCUGGAUUCACAUCCCUGCUGCUUGGAGAAGGUGUGUGCAUCCCCUGGACUCUGGGGUGAGCCAAGGUGUCCCUCUGACCAUCAGUUGUCUGUCUGGGGAGCAGCUCCACGGGCACUCAUGGCCAAAUGCUGCCAGCUGGGGAGCUGCCCCUCCACUGGGACACCCCGACCUCCCUCCCAGGGGGACCUGCCAUGCCCUCAGACCUGUACCCUGGGCUUGCAGGGAGAGUUGAACCCAACAGCUGCACCCCAAAAGCAGCCAAACACCCGGGGCUGGCUCAGGAAUUGUUUGCA
rnacentral:lncRNA from 1 species